CGGGGCGGGAGGUGGUACCUGGCGAGGAGCUGCUCCUGCCCACGCUUCCGUCGCCGCCAGCCUGCUCGGGCUGCCUGUGGAGAGGCGAGGAUGGGCAGCCGGUGAUUUGCGGGAGAACUGCAACUGUGCUGAACAAAAGUUUAAUUUCCAAAAGGCGGCUAUAGCCAAAGGAGGGGCUCGUGAACACGAGAUGGUGACCUUCCUGAGCCUCCCCGGCAUCUGAAACACGUGGUGCUAAUUGAACAUUAGUCCCAGGAAAAGGGAAUGUUCGAGCACCGUUCAAAACCUACACUGUAACUAUGCAAAUCACUUUAAAAACCAGGCCAGAUCUGUGCUAUCAGUCCUUUCUGAUACAGUCAGAAUGUCAUCUUCUACCCUCUUUUCUAUUUUAAGCACUGGUGCAAGGAAGGUAUUUUCAUUAACUUCAACACGUAGAGUUGUCCUUAUUUUUAAGACCCUGUGUGUCAUGUCCCAAUCCCAGUCUGUCUCAGACUUCCUCUGAGCCAGGCUAUUAAUAAUUUAGUGUCUCAUACUUCUUAUUCUCUAGUUUUAUUGUAUUCACAGUCUUUUGCGAUGAGACAACUGGUAUAUGUAUAUGGGUAACUUAUUUUCUCAUCUCUUAUACUUACCUUCUCCCUUGGAGUAGAAUAAGAAAGUAAUACAAUAUACUUUGCUCAGUAUUUAAAAAAUCCCAAGUGUGCAUGAAUUCCUCAAUGACUAGCUUAUAAAAGACCUCCUCUAGAAAAACAAAGGAACAAAGAUGCAGCUCUCCUUAGGUCUGAGCAGAGAUGGAUCCAUGGAGAUUAAUUUUAUAAAGCUCUAGGGGAUAAAAUCUUUGUCUUUUCUACAGAGCUUUAGUUUACCCCCUAUCCAGCCUUCACACUUGGAACCUAAGUAACCUACCAAAUACCAGCUGGGAUAUCAGGAAUGGGUUCAGUGCACUUCUCAGGAGAGGUGAAGAGUGGACUGGAAACAGCAAUGGAGUUUUCCCUGUUGACUAGGUGUUCGUCUAUCAUCUACUACCAUCAGCUCAGAUAGAAUUUGGAGUGGUAUGAAGUACCUCAUACACUGAAGAACCAGCAUUUUGAAGGACGUGCAGGUGCUACCACAAGAAAGGCACCCAAAACCUGUGCUAUUUGUGCUGCUCUGUUUCUGUGGAAACUGUGUGUUGAAGUGGAAUAGAAAAAGCAGGGAAAAGAGAAUGAGAGGUGAAGUGUUUUUGGCUGAAGUCCCGUUGGCCAGUCACAGUUUAAGCUGGGAUUGUUCCCUUGCCCUGAUUAUGUUGCUGACAUUAUGCUCGUGAGGGAAAUUCCUUCCUGACUCCAGAUCUGUUACUAUGCCUUGGAAUUCCACUGCCACGUGAAGAUAACCCAGACAAGCAUCACU